rnacentral:rRNA from 1 species
AUUGAACGCUGGCGGCAGGCCUAACACAUGCAAGUCGAACGAGUGGCGGACGGGUGAGUGAUGUCUGGGAAACUGCCUGAUGGAGGGGGAUAACUACUGGAAAAGGUAGAUAAUACCGCAUACCAUGAGAUGUGCCGAGAUGGGUUUAGCUUGUUGGUGGGGUAACGUCUCACCAACGCGACGAUCCCUGGCUGGGCUGUGAGGAUGAAAAGCCACACGGGAACUGAGACACGGCCCAGACUCCUACGGGAGGCAGGAGUGGGGAAUAUUGCACAAGGGGCGCAAGCCUGAUGCGGCCAUGCCGCGUGUAUGAAGAGGGCCUUCGGGUUGUAGAGUACUUUCAGCGGGGAGGCGUUACCCUCAGAAGAAGCACCGGCUAACUCCGUGCCAGCAGCCGCGGUAAUAC